ACAUACUGCUGAGUGACCAGGUACACACACACACAUACUGCUGAGUGACCAGGUACACACACACACACACACAUACACACACACACACACACACACACACACACAUACUGCUGAGUGACCAGGUACACACAUACUGCUGAGUGACCAGGUACACACAUACUGCUGAGUGACCAGGUACACACACACACAUACUGCUGAGUGACCAGGUACACACACACACACACACAUACACACACACACACACACACACACACACACAUACUGCUGAGUGACCAGGUACACACACACACAUACUGCUGAGUGACCAGGUACACACACACAUACUGCUGAGUGACCAGGUACACACACACACACUGCUGAGUGACCAGGUACACACACACACACACUGCUGAGUGACCAGGUACACACACACACACACUGCUGAGUGACCAGGUACACACACACACACUGCUGAGUGACCAGGUACACACACACACAUACUGCUGAGUGACCAGGUACACACACACAUACUGCUGAGUGACCAGGUACACACACACACACACACACAUACUGCUGAGUGACCAGGUACACACACACAUACUGCUGAGUGACCAGGUACACACACACACAUACUGCUGAGUGACCAGGUACACACACACAUACUGCUGAGUGACCAGGUACACACACACAUACUGCUGAGUGACCAGGUACACACACACACAUACUGCUGAGUGACCAGGUACACACACACACAUACUGCUGAGUGACCAGGUACACACACACACAUACUGCUGAGUGACCAGGUACACACACACACACUGCUGAGUGACCAGGUACACACACACACAUACUGCUGAGUGACCAGGUACACACACACACACACAUACUGCUGAGUGACCAGGUACACACACACAUACUGCUGAGUGACCAGGUACACACACACACAUACUGCUGAGUGACCAGGUACACACACACAUACUGCUGAGUGACCAGGCACACACACACAUAAUGCUGAGUGACCAGGUACACACACACACACACAUACUGCUGAGUGACCAGGUACACACACACACAUACUGCUGAGUGACCAGGUACACACACACACAUACUGCUGAGUGACCAGGUACACACACACACACUGCUGAGUGACCAGGUACACACACACACAUACUGCUGAGUGACCAGGUACACACACACACACUGCUGAGUGACCAGGUACACACACACAUUCUGCUGAGUGACCAGGUACACACACACACACACUGCUGAGUGACCAGGUACACACACACACACACUGCUGAGUGACCAGGUACACACACACACAUACUGCUGAGUGACCAGGUACACACACACACACUGCUGAGUGACCAGGUACACACACACACAUACUGCUGAGUGACCAGGUACACACACACACACACUGCUGAGUGACCAGGUACACACACACACACACUGCUGAGUGACCAGGUACACACACACACACUGCUGAGUGACCAGGUACACACACACACACUGCUGAGUGACCAGGUACACACACACACACACUGCUGAGUGACCAGGUACACACACACACACACUGCUGAGUGACCAGGUACACACACACACACUGCUGAGUGACCAGGUACACACACACAUACUGCUGAGUGACCAGGUACACACACACACACACUGCUGAGUGACCAGGUACACACACACACACUGCUGAGUGACCAGGUAGAGGUGGAUGUUCUCUGUCCAUCAGGUGUUUGCAUUAUAUUUACCUACUGCCUCUGUGUCCCACCCUAACCCUUCCCCCCUUCAGCCUAUUCAGGAAGUACUGGGUGCACCAUUCAAAACAGUCCCCCAACCAGACUGUGCAUCACAGCUAGUGGACCCGUGUGAUUGACUUGAUACUGUAUCAGUAUACCUUAACAUUACUGGUUCAGUUGUAUUGUUCAGUUUUAAACUAGAUUUCUUAACCGUAACAUUUCUGUUGUAAUGUUAUCUAAUGUUAUU